rnacentral:rRNA from 1 species
GACGAACGCUGGCGGCGUGCCUAACACAUGCAAGUCGAACGGAGUUAAGUUUAACACCGAACACUUAGUUUGGUGGAAAACAACACAGGAUGAAAUAAGUAGUCGGUGUUGAACUUAAUUUAGUGGCGGACGGGUGAGUAACGCGUGAGUAACCUGCCUUUCAGAGGGGGAUAACGUCUGGAAACGGACGCUAAUACCGCAUAACAUAUCGGGGUCACAUGGCACUGAUAUCAAAGGAGCAAUCCGCUGAAAGAUGGACUCGCGUCCGAUUAGCUAGUUGGUGAGAUAAAAGCCCACCAAGGCGACGAUCGGUAGCCGGACUGAGAGGUUGAACGGCCACAUUGGGACUGAGACACGGCCCAGACUCCUACGGGAGGCAGCAGUGGGGGAUAUUGCACAAUGGAGGAAACUCUGAUGCAGCAACGCCGCGUGAGGGAAGACGGUUUUCGGAUUGUAAACCUCUGUCCUUGGUGAAGAUAAUGACGGUAGCCAAGGAGGAAGCUCCGGCUAACUACGUG